rnacentral:rRNA from 1 species
CUGGCGGUGCGCCUUAUGCAUGCAAGUCGAGCGAAGCUUUUCAGUAGUUUACUACAGAAAAUGACUGAGCGGCGAACGGGUGAGUAACGCGUGAGCAACCUACCUUAGUUACUGGGAUAGCCCGAGGAAACUCGGAUUAAUACCGGAUAUUCUUAUUUAAUCACAUGAUUUUUUAAGGAAAGGUCAGCCGAACUAAGAUGGGCUCGCGUUCUAUCAGCUAGUUGGUAGGGUAAUGGCCUACCAAGGCUACGACGGAUAGCUGGUCUGAGAGGACGAUCAGCCACACUGGGACUGAGACACGGCCCAGACUCCUACGGGAGGCUGCAGCAGGGAAUAUUGCGCAAUGAGCGAAAGCUUGACGCAGCGACACCGCGUGUGGGAUGACGGAUCUAGGUUUGUAAACCACUUUCAGGAGGGAAGAAAAUGACGGUACCUCCACAAGAAGCCCCGGCCAACUACGUGCCAGCAGCCGCGGUAAUACGUAGGGGGCGAGCGUUGUCCGGAUUUAUUGGGCGUAAAGAGCUCGUAGGCGGUUCAACAAGUCGGUCGUGAAAGUUCAGGGCUCAACCCUGAAAUGUCGAUCGAUACUGUUGUGACUAGGAUACGGUAGAGGUGAGUGGAAUUCCGAGUGUAGCGGUGAAAUGCGUAGAUAUUCGGAGGAACACCAAUUGCGAAGGCAGCUCACUGGGCCGCUAUCGACGCUGAGGAGCGAAAGCUAGGGGAGCAAACAGGAUUAGAUACCCUGGUAGUCCUAGCUGUAAACGAUGGAUACUAGACGUAGGAAUUGGAUUAACGAUUUCUGUGUCGUAGCUAACGCGUUAAGUA